UUGGGAGAAGAGUGUUAAUUCAGGAAUCUGGUUCAAGGGAUUUUUUAUUCUGGAAACUACCCAACGUCCUUCAAGUCCCUGAGAUCCUGGUGGACCUCAAGGAUUUCACAUUGUGUACCCUGAGAGAUAGAUGCCUGCUGAAUUGAACUAAACCAGGCUUCAGGAGUUAGGAAGCAUUUCAUCAGCCUUGCAGAGGAAUAUAAGCAAUUCAGUUGGCCAGGCUAAUGGAAGGGCAGCAGUGAAAAUCCAGAGGAGCCAAUAACUCUGAAGAACAGCAACAACUCCCAGAGCUCCAGGAUUGAGCCACAUCCCAUACUUGAACUAAGAAUUCUCAUCGCUGCACUGCUAGCUGCUUCUGUCUUGCUGCCACCCCUGGAGCUUCAUGAUUUCCUAUAAUACAUCUCUGCGUGUAGCUGUACUCUGUCAGACCUUCCUUCUCUUCUGUCCUCCAGGUUCCUUGUGGCAUGUGCCCUUUUCCCUGUACCCCUUAAUGACCAAACCUAAAAGUAAUAGCUAAGUAAUGUCACCUUAGUUCGAACUUGAGUUUGUGCCAAAAGGCUAAUCCAAGAGUGAAUCAGUUUAUGCCUUGCUCAGGUAACAAUAUUCAGGUAACAGUAGAUGGAAGAAAAGUUGGACUAGAUGGCCCCUUUGGUUCUUCUACCUAUCAAUCCAUCAACAAAUAUUUCCUAAAGGCCUAUAUGUGCUAGGCACUAUGCUAGAACCAGAUGGUCACUUUGGUCCCUUCCACCUAUCAAUCUAUCAAUAAACUUUAACUAAGGGCCCUCUAUGUAUUAGGUACUAUGUUAAUCUCUGGAAAUACAAAAAGAAGCUGCCCUCAAAAAGCUCACAAUUUAAUACAUCUGUGAUCAUCAUAUCCCUAUGAUAGGUUUAAAUGACACCUCUUGCUAUUUAUUACCUACUAGUGUCAGUCAACUAGCAUUUAAAAGUCUGUACUUACUCUGUGCCAGGCAAAUAAAGGUGAAAAAAACAAAAUGAACCCUGUUCUCAAGGAGCUCACAAUCUAAUAAGGGAGGUGAUAGGCAAACUACUAUGUACAAUCUAUAGGCAGGAUAAACUUUGGGCAGUCUCAUAGGGAAGGCUCUAAGAGUGAGGACGACUAGGAAACUCUUCUUGCAGAAGGGAAGACGUUGGCUAAGACCUAAAAGAAACUAAGGAAGCCAAGAAGGAGUAGAUGAGAUCACUGAACCUUAGGCAAGACUUCCCAGUCUUAAGAGACUCAUGUGGAUUUUGUGUAACAUAAGACGGAACUAUAUACAGGAUCACUAAGAGUCUUUCUAGCUCUGAAUCCUAUGAUUCUGUGCCAAGUCAGGGUAGCAGUCUCUAGACCCUGAAAAUCUCUUUCCUGAUGAAUGGAAAACAAAUAAGAUGGGUGGACUCCCCAUUUCUCCACAAAGAGACCUGCUGGGUAGAGAAUACACCAUUCCCUUUCCUGGCUGCCUUACAUAGAGAUGAAUCAGCUUUUUCUCUGUCUUUAAUCCCUAAAUGUGGUCACCUUGCUUUUGCCUCCUGGCAGGGUGUAGGAGGGACGUGGUCAGGAUGGUCUCUGAUGCUUCUUUGUGGGCUGUCAGAUUGCCUUCUCUGGGUCACUCUAUUCUGGGAGUUGCCAUUUGUCCAAUCUAGGCUCCCUCCUCCACCUCCCCUGCCCCUACCCCUUCUAUUUGUGGUUACACUAAAUGUCCCAGACAACCCCACCCUCCCACAACCAGGAGCCGUUAAAAAAAAUUCUGCUGCCUUUUAUCCUUUGGUUCUGUGGCACUCUUAAGAAAGCCCGGGAGACACCAAUUAGCCCCCUUCCCAAAGAGCAGGCAGAGCUAGGCUGGAACGUGGGCAGAAUGUAACCCUGAUCCGAAGCCCAAUAUAGCUUUCCUGAGAACCUUACCCUGUAAUCUGUGCCUCAGGGACUGAACAGGGGAUCCAGAGCCUGUCAUUAUCCCCUGAAUGGGGGGGCACCUCCCAGGGAGUGGGUUUGGCCUGGGAUUCCCUCCCUUUGGUGUUUUACCCAGGGUCUAAGCCAGCCCUAUUCAGCAUAGUUGGGGCCAAAAGCAUUUGAAUUUAUGCCAGAAAAAAGAGCGUGGCAGCAGACUUUCAGGCUAUGGGACAAAUAAAAGUCAGACAGUGAGUGAUUGACACUCAGCUGCCUUCCCCCAGAUUUGGCUGCCUUGAAACUGCUGUGGCAGAAAAAUAAUAACAUGAAUGACUCAUUAAUGUCACACUUGAAGGUUUACAAAGUGCUCUGACAGAAUGAGAAGGGAAUUUAGGGUACAUCCACCCUGUAGCUUGGAGACUUUCAGGGGGAUAGAGGAGAGCCCCUCAUCUCACAAGGAAGCCCCAAUCCAUCUUUGGGCACCUCUAAUAUUUGCUUGUUUACAACUUCUUCCCAUUCCUUUUAGCUUUGAAGACCAAGUAGAAUGAGUCUAAUUCUACUUUUAUAGGACUACUCUGCAAAUGUUUAAUAGGAUCAUAGGCCACAGAGUCAGAGGAAAUUUCAGAGACCAUCUCCUCAGCUCAUUUAACAAAUUAAGAAACUAAGGCUUGAGGAGGAGGUCAUGGUCAAAUAGGCAGUAAAUGAAUUGAGGAGCUGUUCCCCACAUGUAAUGGAGAUGAUGUGUGGCUCAAAGGGAGGCAGAAUAGAUAUCUCCAGGAUUUUCAUAACCCCCCACCUUUCUCCAAAGGGCAUUUUCGUUUCCCCAGGAGGAGAAGCAGAACGGUGGGUACAUGAGUUUAUCCCCUCAGCUCUCUCCAGAGACAAGUAGUGUCGGGCUAGAAUUGUAUCUCUCUGGUCCUUUAAAUAGUAGUAGUCUAGGAGAUCUGAUCUUCAGGUUCAGACUUACUUCCAAUUGCUAUUUUAUUAUGGGGAAAGGAAGAGGAUCUCAAACUUUAUAUCCAAAGCUUGACUCCUUUCCCCCCAAUUACCAGAUUCUACAAUGAUAGCAAUUAGUAGAGAAGUCUCCAUUUAUCCAAAUCAUAGCAAAACAGAAAGUAGAGAAAGUAUGUAUAGCAGAAUGGCAACAAGGUGGCACAGUGGUUAAGAGUGCCAGCCUGUAAUCAGGAAAACCUGAGUUCAA